rnacentral:lncRNA from 1 species
GCUUCCCCUCUCCAUGCUGCUGAGCUGCGAGCCAGGCACGAGGCAGCAGGAUGCGGCCAAGAAGCCUUCUGCCAGCGUGCUCCCACCGUGCACAGGCAGAUCCCCCAGGACAAAGAAAGCGGGACAAAAGGAACCAGCUCCUCCAGCCCAGCCCAGCGCAGCACUCCCUGCAACAGAAGACUCUAAGAGAGCGCUGCAGGAGCUCCGGGAAGUGUCUGCACUGGGGUACAAAGCGGACCGCUUGCGGCCUGUGUACCGGCAGCGGAUCCAAGAAGCACAGGCUGAAAGGGCUGCAUGGGAAGACUGGAGUGCAGGGAAGGACUGGCAGCCACCCCAGCGGUUCGCCAGGGCAAGCAUGUGGGCUCCGCAUCCUCCAACCCAGCCCAGGGGACAGCAGGUGGGGAAGAGACAGAGGAAGGCUGAGGACCCUGAGCUGGGAAAUGAAAUGGGAGCGGCAACCAAGCUGGUACUGCAGGCUCAGGAAGCGUGUGCGGGCUCUGUUUGCUGCUUGAGGCACUCGGGCAGCUGUGAUGACGCUGCAGCUCAGGGACAGCCCCGGCCCAGGCCAAAAACUGCUGGCGGGGUGAAAGGCUGGGGACACACGGCACCACGGGGCUGCGGGGCUGGGUGA